rnacentral:lncRNA from 1 species
ACAAAACAUAUUAUUCAAAUUAUGAUCAUAAACAAAGUUAUUUAUACAAUAUAAACAAUAACAAUACUUUAUACAACAUUCCAAGUAGUAAUACUGAUAAAAAAAAUAAAUAUGUGUGUACAUCAAAGAGAUAUACAACAUAAACUUUGUAAUACUAGUUGCCAUAAUUCCUGUACAAACACAUAUACUGAAAAAAAAAACGAGCCACAUAUUCUUACCACUCCGAUCACAAUCACCAAUAACACUGUCAAUGGUACUGCAAACAAAACUAAGACACUUAUACGGGACCAACAAAAUAACGAUAUUAUUAAUAUUUUUAAAAAACAAAAUAAUAAUUAUAAAAACAAAACAUCAACAAAUGUUUUUUUAUAAAACUAUUAACACAAAUGUUAAUGAUAGCGUUUUAAUGUAUAUUGCAAAACAAAAAAUGAAAGAAAAAAUGAAUAAUACUCCUUAUACUGGAAUUGGAACUGCAGCUAUAGCUGGAGCUGGAGCUAUAACUCAAACUGCAGUUGGAACUGUAACUGGAACUGUAACUGGUAAUUAUAACAAUUCCAUUAAUAUUAAUAACAUUACAUGUAAUAAAUGUAAUAUAUGCAAUUGUAAUAACAUGAAUUUAAACACAAGCUUUAAACAUUCGAUUUUAUGUAACCCUAUUUUUAAAUACAAACAAAAACCACUCAUAUUUUUAUUUGUUAAUAAUAAUAAAAAUAUUAUGAAUGUUAAAGAAAUAAAUAAAAUUAAAAAAUAUGCACGAGAAUGUAAUGGUUUUAUAAAACUAAAAAAUUUUAACAAAAAUGAUUUGUAUGAAUUUGUCAGCUUAUGUUUUAAUAUACCUAUCGAUCAAAUUAAUAAACAACUAAUUAAUUACCUUGAUCAAACUUGCUUUGGUAUUCCCAAAUUUGUACAAUACACUUUAUUUUAUAUUUUUAAAAAUAAAUAUAUAAAACUUUAUCGAUAUGUUAUAAAAGAGGAAGACUACAAUGGCGAUUACAAUAACACAGUUGAAGGGGUCAACAAGAGAGAGGGAGAAGAAGGAGAAGGAGAAGGAGGAGAGGGCGAAAUAACAACAGAAGAACUAAACGACAUUCAAAAAAAAUAUGCAAAUAAUAACAUAAAAAAUUAUCAUAAAGAUAACGAAAGUGACAACUUAUUGAAUACACCUGUUGUACAAAAUAAUAGUUAU